rnacentral:tRNA from 1 species
GCUCGUAGUAGCGCAGGACGAGUACGGCCCGCUGCUUGCGGGGCAGGGUCGCGAGGGCCUGCCACAGCUCCUGUUCGACGCCGGAGGGGAGCGC